UACGUAGGGGGCAAGCGUUGUCCGGAAUCAUUGGGCGUAAAGCGCGUGUAGGCGGCUCGGUAAGUCCGCUCUGAAAGUCCAGGGCUCAACCCUGGGAUGCGGGUGGAUACUGCCGGGCUCGAGUCCGGAAGAGGCGAGUGGAAUCCCGGUGUAGCGGUGAAAUGCGCAGAUAUCGGGAGGAACACCAAUGGCGAAGGCAGCUCGCUGGGACGUGACUGACGCUGAGACGCGAAAGCGUGGGGAGCAAACAGG
rnacentral:rRNA from 1 species